rnacentral:rRNA from 1 species
CAGCCGCCACGGUAAUACGUAGGGUGCGAGCGUUAAUCGGAAUUACUGGGCGUAAAGCGUGCGCAGGCGGUUGUGUAAGACAGGUGUGAAAUCCCCGGGCUUAACCUGGGAACUGCGCUUGUGUCUGCACAGCCAGAGUAUGGCAGAGGGGGGUGGGAUUCCACGUGUAGCAGUGAAAUGCGUAGAGAUGUGGAGGAACACCGAUGGCGAAGGCAGCCCCCUGAGCCAAUACUGACGCUCAUGCACGAAAGCGUGGGGAGCAAACAGGAUUAGAUACCCGAGUAGUCCCUGUCUCUUUACA